rnacentral:rRNA from 1 species
UACGGAGGGUGCAAGCGUUAUCCGGAUUCACUGGAUUUAAAGGGUGCGUAGGUGGGUUGAUAAGUCAGUGGUGAAAUCCCCGAGCUUAACUUGGGAACUGCCAUUGAUACUAUUGAUCUUGAAUACCGUGGAGGUCAGCGGAAUAUGUCAUGUAGCGGUGAAAUGCUUAGAUAUGACAUAGAACACCAAUUGCGAAGGCAGCUGGCUACGCGAAUAUUGACACUGAUGCACGAAAGCGUGGGGAUCAAACAGG